rnacentral:rRNA from 1 species
ACUAACGGAGGGACUGACUCCACGGAGGGUGUAAGACCCGUGUGGGCGCGUGUAAAAACUGAUUGGGGUUGGCCUCUUUCCCUGAGAGUCGCGUUGCUCUGGCAUGCAGCGCUAAGCAGGUCGUAAACUCGAUCUAAGGCUAAAUACUUCCACAGGCCCGAUAGCGAACAAGUACCGUGAGGGAAAGUUGAAAAGCACUCUGAAGAGAGAGUCAAAAGACCGUGAAACCGCUCAGAGUAUAAGCCCAUGGAGCUCGGAAGGCAUACCGCAGUCCUAUAACAAGGUCGGCUUGCACGAAGGUCUGUCAGGCAGUGGCAUUGAGUUGAUAUCACGCUGACGUGCGGGGGAGGAAACUGGUCGCGUAGCCGGGCUUCGGCUCGGUUUGCACGGCCAGCUACUCUCUUGAUCACGGACUUUCAAGGGUGCUUGCCGUAUGCGGAAACGCCCACCACGUCUCGUUGCGUGGUCACCCACAGGCUCGACUGUCGAUCGCGUGUUCACCUCGCUCGCACAGAUGUGUCAUGGCUGUCCCGCCUCCCCUCUAGGAGACGGGACGACACUAGCGGCGAGGCCACUGUCAUUGAACCCGACGGCGACUGAGAUAAACCUGGUCUGAUC